UUUGUUGCGUUCUCGCUCAUCAGGGUGUUAGUCAAUUCUCUCUUGCCACACGAAGAGAAUUCUCCUGCACACUUCGUGUGUUGGAUUCUACCCAUCCCUGUUGAACACACGUCAUUUUCUUCCAUCGCACUCAUCAGGGUGUUUGCUCUUUUCCAUCCAAGCCAAAGAGCGACUUCAGUGUGCUCUGAACCGUGGAUGUGAGAGUGUGUGUUUGUGUGCUGCGUGAACUAUUUUUCCUGCGUGAAACACUUUCCAUACUGCGCCAUCCGCGGUGUUCUUUCUGCUUCAUCGGAGGACGAAUUUUUAUAAUCUAAUUGUUUGGUUUCAGAUGUGUGCUGCUACCGCUAGCUGUUCCUCAAAAUACUUAAAAAAUGUGACACUGUGUGCACAGGCGUUCAAGUUUCAAUUGAUCCUCAAGCACAAAGCCUUCAUACAACACCGCGGUUGAAGCGCACCAAAUCUGAUGACAUCUUUCCUGAACCAAGCAGGCUGAACACGCGCACCACCACGGGCUCCAGCGCGGUGUGAAGGGGGAAGAAGAAAAGGCAGAAUUGGAAACAGCCGCACCAGGCUUCCAACCACCGUGUGUGUGUAUGUAAGUAUGUGAGAACACAUGUGUGAAUCCUCUUGUGGGAACUGCAAAAAGAAGAGAAUAAAGAGUGUGAAGCAGCUAGACUGCCGCAACCA